rnacentral:lncRNA from 1 species
GCAGAAACAAAUGACUAGUAUCCACGAGGACACAGGUUCAAGCUCAGUGGGUUAAGGGUCGGGCAUUGCCGUGAUCUGCGGCUCGGAUCCCGCGUUGCUGUGGCUGUGGUGUACGCCAGUGGCUCCAGCUCCAAUUCGACCCCUAGCCUGGGAACCUCCAUAUGCUGCAGGUGCUGCCCUAAAAGACAGAAAAGAAAAGAAAGAAAAGGAAAGAUAAGAAUAAAUAAACGAAUAAAUGAAAAACAUCAAACAAGCAAAAACUCCACUAAAAACAAUAAAAGAAAACCAAGUAGCCACUCUUAACAAAUAACCCAUUAGCAUUGACUUUCCAAUGGAUUUAACCAAGCACUCUUUAAAUAAUACGGUCCUAAGUUUCUUUUAAUUAUUCCUAUUCCCCAAUUGAGCCAUGUUUUGCAUCUUAUUCCGAUUCAGAGACUCCGAGCAGGACUUUAAAUGACAUGUGUGGUGACAGCUUCUGUGGAGCCGAGUGACAGAGGCCAGGGUUCCCUCUUCAAAUCAUGGAACACAUCUGUUUUCUACGAGUUGGUCCCUGGGGGAUAAAUCCCUUCCUGAUAAAAAGGCUUAACUGGGUACUUUUGUCCAGUUGCUAUGGGAGCAUGUUUUCUUGGAAGGAGCCGUGAGUGUUUUGGAGGAAGGAGUAAUUACUUCUUAGGAGGCGUUCCCCUCUUGAAGCCUUUCUGGAAAGGAGCGCCCAGGCUCUGACCGCCUGGGAGCCCGGGGGGAUGUGCCAUCCGGACGGAGGCGGAGAGGAAGACGACGGGACUGGCGUCGCUGCUCCUGAGACUCGAGUUUCGAGAACGGCGCAGAGAACCGUCGAGGAGAGCAACGUGCGUUUCCCCAGCAUCCGCUCUCCUCCCCAGAACAGCGUCGCGGUCUGUCGGAGGCUGGGCGGCCUUCCAAAGCAGCAGAUGCCUGCCCACCGACGACGCCGGAGCACUGAAGUUCACGGCAGAAGGACACUGACCGCAGGGGUGUUUUGAACUAAGCACGCCACUUUCUCCAGCCUCUGGGGCUGAGAGUUUCCUGGCAGGGCCAGCGGCCACCUCUCCUGUAACAGAGGCUGCCAGUGCCCUGCCCUCAUGCCCUCACUCUGCCUGAACAUCCAACAGCUUCCCCUGGCAAGCUCGGGGCCGCCCUGCCCUAGGGCACCCUGGCCACAGCCCUCCUCUCUGGGCUCAUAUCAGGCCACCUCUUCCUAUUGCUAAAUGGUCACUCUGGGAACUCGUUUGAAACUGCGUUUGCUCAGUCUCCUUACCAACCCGGGAGGCCAGCUGGAGGAUCCCCGCUUUCCGGCUGGGGCAGCGGAAAGCUCAAGGAGGUGACUUGGCCAGGGUCACAGGGCCAGGAAACGACAGAUCUGAGGCGUCCACACAGCUCUCGCGGCUGCAGGCUCGGUGCUCCAGCCCUCUGCCCAAGCCCCAGAGGGCACCGGCCCCCAGAACCUCCUCACCGUGCCUACGGUACACAGCAGCCACCGAGUCAGGAGAGGAGCUCUUAUCUGUGUUUGUCCUGCAGAGGAGCUGCCUUAUCCUCGGGCAUUGGCUGUAACAUCGGAGUAGACACAACAGACUUUUAAUAACUCCACGCAACUCUAAACCAGAAGCGUAUUUUUACUCCUGUGAGUCAGCCAUUUAUUUGUCAACCAAGGCCAGGAAAGGAAAGGGCCCAGGGGCCAUUCAUAAACAGACUGCAGCCCCCGGAGACAUCCCGGGGGGAAGCCAAGCUGUCUAGAAAUGCUCUGGUCUAUGAAAACCAUUCCACGGGAACAGACCAGCGCCGGGAGCUGUCUGGGAAACGGCUGGCGGGGGUGGCAGAGGCGGAGGUGUGCGGAGGGGCACUGCAGAAGGCCGGCACACGUGCCACGGGCAGACCCAGCUCCACGUAGGAACCGCAGGGUAGAGCUCCGCCGGGCCUCAGCGUCACGCGCGGUGAAGCAGGCAAGAUGAUGCCAGCCUUUCGGGGAUUCAUGGAGAAUAGAGG